GAGUUUGAUCCUGGCUCAGAGUGAACGCUGGCGGUAGGCCUAACACAUGCAAGUCGAACGGCAGCACAGGAGAGCUUGCUCUCUGGGUGGCGAGUGGCGGACGGGUGAGGAAUACAUCGGAAUCUACUUUUUCGUGGGGGAUAACGUAGGGAAACUUACGCUAAUACCGCAUACGACCUACGGGUGAAAGCAGGGGAUCUUCGGACCUUGCGCGAUUGAAUGAGCCGAUGUCGGAUUAGCUAGUUGGCGGGGUAAAGGCCCACCAAGGCGACGAUCCGUAGCUGGUCUGAGAGGAUGAUCAGCCACACUGGAACUGAGACACGGUCCAGACUCCUACGGGAGGCAGCAGUGGGGAAUAUUGGACAAUGGGCGCAAGCCUGAUCCAGCCAUACCGCGUGGGUGAAGAAGGCCUUCGGGUUGUAAAGCCCUUUUGUUGGGAAAGAAAUCCAGCUGGUUAAUACCCGGUUGGGAUGACGGUACCCAAAGAAUAAGCACCGGCUAACUUCGUGCCAGCAGCCGCGGUAAUACGAAGGUGCAAGCGUUACUCGGAAUUACUGGGCGUAAAGCGUGCGUAAGUGGUCGUUUAGUCCCGUU
rnacentral:rRNA from 1 species